rnacentral:lncRNA from 1 species
AACCAACAGUGAGGAGCAGGCCAAGACGUGAAAAGAGGCCCAACUCAAGGUUGAGUGGGCUGGAAUGGACCCACUAGGGUGUGUGCGUUCUGUUUGCCAGUGAGAUUGGAGAGGGGAUUAAAAAGAGAACAGGGGAACCUUGAGCGUGUGUGGAGGAUUUUGGAGAACCCUUGGCCGGCUGCGUCCGGAUGGUGGGCUAAUCAGCCCUGUAAUCUCCACCAUACUCUAUAUUUCUGAGAUCUUCGUGAGAGGAGAAGUGUGCCGGGAGCGGUGCACAUCCCACCCCAAUUUAGUGUUCUCACAACUGGUAUCAGAUUCAUCUGUCCGAUCCUGGCGGAACCACCAAGCUACGUGCUGCGUCCGCAGUACAAAACCCGCGCCCAGAAGCAAUCCGACGCCAUGGAGCAAGGCAUCGCUGAAUUAUCCAAGCUACUUCAAGCGAUGCAGUCCCAGAAUGAAUCAAUCAAGACAGCUCUGGAAGAAAAUACUGCAGCAGUUCGUGAUCUGUCCUCUUGGAGACCUCACAUCGAGGCGGAUGUGGGCGAUCUACGGGUGGAGAUGAGUCAGCUCUCUGCCCAGGUGAAAGAAAUGGCGGCUAUUCAAGGGGAUUACUAUGCUGCACGCAAGGUGUUCGACGAGGGUUCUGAGGAGCAACUUCUGUCGAAGAACACCCAGAGGGAAACUUCUCUUCUUCCUGCGGGACAGGAACAUGAUGCGUAUGGCGCUGCAACAGCUAACCGGGGUGCUGGAUUUGGGGUAGUAACUACCCUGACUCCGCCUCCGGUCAAAGGUAACAAUCUUCUUCCGCAUCUGGGUUUUUCUGCUCAGCCGUUGAACCAAGCAGUACAUUCCAGUUUAUCACCUUACUCGGCAAAUCUGGCAGCGGCUUUACCCAACAUGAGUUUUCCUCAAUUUGAUGGACAUCAUCCUAAAAUGUGGAAAGUGAAGUCUGAGUCAUAUUUUGAGGUGUUUGCUAUACCUAGUGAAUUAUGGGUGAAAAUAGCCACUAUGAACUUUGUGGGUUCGGCAGCAUUUUGGCUUCAAUCAAUGGAUCCGGCUUUGCGUCUCACACCUUGGCUUGAUUUUUGCUCAGCCGUGUGUGCUCGUUUUGAGCGUGACCAUCACAACCACCUCAUUAGGCAGUUUUUUCGCAUUAAACAGUAUACUAAUGUUACUGAAUAUGUGGAACAGUUUGACAGUCUGAUGCAUCAAAUUUUGGCUCAUGAUCCAUCAUUUAGUAUGUCAGCCAUAGUAAAUCGUUUUGUUGAUGGUCUUAGACAGGAUAUUAAAGCAGUUGUGUUUAUCCAGCGCCCAUUAGACCUCGAUACUGCCGUCUCUCUUGCUCUUUUACAGGAGGAGUUACUGUCCCCAAGAGUUCAGCAGCAGUUUAAGCGUUCUGAGGACCAACGCAGUAGCAGCAACACUUCGGGGUUUCUACCAACAUCAUUUUCAACUGCUCAAAUUUCUGAUAAGUUGAUUCGCUCACCAGAGACAAAUUUUCGUACACCAGGGGACUGUCAAAACCAGAAUACCGAGACAAGAAAAGCCUCUGCUCUGAUGGCGUAUAGAAAAGCAAAGGGAUUAUGCUAUAAGUGUGGUUUAAAAUGGGGGCCUACUCAUACUUGCAGCACGACGGUGCCUUUGCAUUUAGUCGAAGAGUUGUGGCAGAUGUUUGAUAUGCCUCAAGUGGUCGAAGAUCAUUUCAGUCAUCCUGGAGAAGCGCAUGGAAAUUUGAUGGUUUUGUCUGUGAAUGCUGUUCUGGGCACAGAAGCACCACAAUCGAUAAAGUUAGCAGCCACUAUGUUUGCGAAAUCUGUCAUUAUGCUAGUAGACUCAGGGAGUUCAUCAUCUUUCAUCAGUGAGCAACUAGCACGGUCGGGCUCACCCAGAGUCCCUUUGCAACAUCCAGUCCAAGUGCAAGUAGCUAAUGGACAAGUUAUUCAAUGCACACAUCAAGUAGUGGAUUGUAAAGUGUAUGUGGGCGGCUAUUGUUUCAAGAUGGAUUUGAAAAUAUUGCCAUUAAAUUGUUAUGAUGUGAUUUUAGGUAUGGAUUGGCUGGCUUCUAACAGUCCAAUGCAUAUUGAUUGGCAAGAAAAGUGGCUAGUUUUUUACAAGGAACAAACAAAAGUGGUGUUACAAGGGCUAAGAUCUGACUUAUGUUCUUUGGACCCAGUUUCAGUGCCUCAUCUUGUUCAUUUGGACUCUUUGGAUGAAUUGUGGUGUAUAAUUCAAUUACAAACAGUGAAAAAACUUCCUGAAGACAACCUUCCAGCAGAAAUCCAGCAGUUGAUUCAAGAGUAUGCUUCUCUGUUUGACAAGCCAACAGGACUGCCACCUGCACGGUCUCAUCAGCACACAAUUCCUUUAGUAACGGGUGCAGUUCCCUUCCGUCUACGUCCUUACCGUUAUAACCCAGCUCAGAAGGAUGAGAUUGAAAAGCAAAUUUCGGAGUUGCUUCAAAAUGGGAUGAUACAACCUAGUAGCAGCCCUUUUGCCUCUCCUAUCAUUCUGGCAAGGAAGAAGACAGGUGACUGGCGUUUGUGUGUGGACUAUCGGCGCCUCAACGCCCUCACGGUGAAAAAUAAGUACCCCUUACCUGUAAUAGAUGAGCUAUUGGAUGAACUACAGGGAGCAGUGUGGUUCUCUAGUUUGGAUCUCAGUGCUGGCUAUCAUCAGAUUCAGAUGGAUCCGAAGGAUAUUCCUAAAACGGCGUUCCAAACUCAUCAUGGGCACUUUGAGUACCGGGUCAUGCCCUAUGGACUCACCAGUGGUCCAGCCACUUUUCAGUUAACAAUGAAUUCAGUUCUGGCACCGUUUCUUCGUAAAUGUGUGGUAGUGUUUAUAGAUGAUAUCCUCAUCUAUAGUGCAACUUGGCCCGACCAUUUGUGUCAUCUAAGAGCAGUUUUCGAUACCUUAAGGAACCAGCAACUGAAAGUCAAAUUGUCCAAAUGCUCAUUCGCGCAAAUCAAACUACAAUAUUUGGGGCACGUGAUCAGUAAGGAUGGUGUGGCAACAGAUCCUUCGAAAAUUGAGGCAGUGCAGUCAUGGCCUAGUCCCAAAACGGCGAAAGAGGUUCGCAGUUUUUUAGGACUAGCCGGGUACUACAGGAAGUUCGUAAAAAACUUCGGAAUCAUGAGUCGCCCACUAACAAACCUACUCAAAAAAGGCCAAGUGUUUACUUGGCAUGAGACCCAGGAGAGAGCUUUUCAAGCACUAAAACAGGCUUUGAUUACAGCUCCAGUACUAGCACUUCCGGAUUUCUCAAAAAAAUUCGAAGUGGAAACCGACGCAUGCGACACAGGGAUUGGAGCUGUGCUGCACCAAGCAGGUCACCCCAUUGCUUUUGUGAGUAAAUCUUUGGGUCCUCGUCAUCAAGGAUUAUCAACAUAUGAAAAAGAAUGUUUGGCUAUUUUACUAGCAGUGGAUCACUGGCGUUCCUAUCUGAUGAGUGGUGAGUUUAUUAUUCGCACGGACCAAAGGAGUUUGGUGCAUUUGGACGACCAAAGACUCACUACACCCUGGCAGCAAAAAGCAUUAACCAAAUUAUUAGGCCUACAGUACCAAAUCUGUUACAAGAAAGGCCAAGAAAAUAGGGUGGCAGAUGCACUAUCUCGGUUACCAACAGGUCAAGUGUUGUCCCUGUCAACAUUGAAAAACACCUGGUUACAAUCAGUGUCUGAAUCUUAUGCUCAGUACGAUGAUACAACACCUAUCCUUCAGUCAUUGGCAGUUCAGUCACCGACUGGGAAUUAUAAAUUGAAGGAAGGACUCAUAUUAUACAAGGAUCGUAUACUAUUAGCAGCAGCAUCUGAAUGGCCAUUGAAAAUAUUUCAAAGCCUGCACAACACACCAAUUGGAGGGCAUUCAGGAUUCUUGGUAACUUACCAAAAGAUAAAGAAGUUGUUCAGGUGGAUUGGUAUGAAAAAGAUGAUUCAGCAGUGGUGUCAAAACUGUCCAAUCUGUCAACAAGCGAAAUCGGAACGGGUUCCGUACCCAGGAUUACUUCAACCGUUACCAGUCCCUGAAGGUGCUUGGCAGUUGGUCUCAAUGGAUUUUAUAGAAGGUCUUCCGCUCUCGGAUCAUUCAAACUGCAUAAUGGUUGUAGUUGAUAAAUUUUCAAAAUAUGCUCACUUCAUUCCUCUCCACCAUCCAUUCACAGCGUUAGCUGUCGCGCAUCAAUUUAUGGAUAAUGUCUUCAAACUGCAUGGAUUUCCUCAAGCACUAAUCACGGACCGUGAUCGCAUCUUUACAAGUGCUUUGUGGCAAGAAUUGUUCAAACUGGCCGGAGUGGAAUUGCGAUUCACUACUGCUUACCACCCUCAAUCCGAUGGUCAAACGGAGAGGGUAAAUCAAUGUUUGGAAACAUACCUCCGUUGUUUCACUCAAGCAUGCCCAUCUAAAUGGAAAAGAUGGCUUGCGUUAGCGGAAUUUUGGUAUAAUACUAGUUAUCAUGCUUCAUUGAAACUGACCCCUUUUGAAGUGCUUUACGGCUAUCCUCCAAGACACCUGGGAAUUGAAUUUACCGAGUCCAGUACAGUCCCUUCACUUCAGCAGUGGCUGGCUGAAAGAAAGCUGAUGGUACAAUUGGUUCAACAACAGUUGGUGAGAGCGCAACAGUGUCAAAAGCAGCAGGCUGAUCGCCACAGGUCUGACAGAAACUUCAUGGUGGGUGAUAUGGUAUAUUUGAAACUACAACCUUACGUCCAAUCGUCUUUGGUCAAGCGGGCAAAUCACAAAUUGGCAUUCAAGUUUUUUGGUCCAUAUCCAGUAAUUGCCAAAAUCGGGUCAGUCGCUUAUAAAUUGGGUCUCCCACCUUCUUCAUCUAUACACCCGGUAUUCCAUGUUUCACUUCUGAAAAAGGCUUUGGGGUCCAAUAUGCAAGUAAGCUCCACUCUACCACCUUUACCAGAUUCAUUACAGAAACCUGUGAGGAUUUUGCAGCGUCGCCAGAUGCAAACACACACAGGAGUGGUACCCCAACUGCUGAUACAAUGGACUGACUGGCCUGAAGAACUUGCAACAUGGGAAGACGAAGCUGCGAUCAUCGCCAGAUUCCCGGAAGUCGCGGCUUGGGGACAAGCCGUCACUGAAGGAGGGGAGAAUGUCAUGACAUCUAAUGAACCAACAGUGAGGAGCAGGCCAAGACGUGAAAAGAGGCCCAACUCAAGGUUGAGUGGGCUGGAAUGGACCCACUAGGGUGUGUGCGUUCUGUUUGCCAGUGAGAUUGGAGAGGGGAUUAAAAAGAGAACAGGGGAACCUUGAGCGUGUGUGGAGGAUUUUGGAGAACCCUUGGCCGGCUGCGUCCGGAUGGUGGGCUAAUCAGCCCUGUAAUCUCCACCAUACUCUAUAUUUCUGAGAUCUUCGUGAGAGAAGUGUGCCGGGAGCGGUGCACAUCCCACCCCAAUUUAGUGUUCUCACAC